UUUUUUUAGGUAUUGUACGAAGACGUAGUUGAUGGGUAGAUAAGGGAAUUUCCAUAUCUGUUGACAUAUGGUGGAUUACCUCCUUCAUCAGCAACAGUAAGUGCCACCAUUUAUUGUUGGGCAUCUGUCUAUCUUUCCAACCUUGAAAGCAUUGUCAUGUCUUCAUUUCGCAAUAUAUUUAAGGAUAUAUAUUUCCGAUGUUACUAGCACAGAUGUAUUGAACAAGUUUAAAAUAUGUUUUUUGUGAGAGAAUUGUACGUUAAUUCAUUUUAAAAAUUAAACUGAACUCAAGAGGGGGAUAUGGAAUACUGUUCUUUCACUGAUAUUUAAUUAUUUGAAAUAUUUAAAGGAGUUCUGGAAGGACAAAGUUCUUUACAAAUUUGGAAACGCAAAAAAAAGCUGUUGGACAAAAAUCAUCCGGAUGUCAAGAAAAAAGAAAGUAAUAACAGAGGAGAAGUCAGAAGGAAACAAAAAAACUUUACCUUGGUGUUAGGUAGAUACCUUCCUGACAUUCCAGUUACAGAAGAUGAAAUAUUUUUAGACAUACAAAGGGCUUCAAAGAGAGUAUAAAAAAACAGAUCGAGACUUGGAAAAUGUCAACAGAAAAAUGGAGCUAAUAUACCCAUACAGGCAAAAGCAAAUAGUGGAAGACAAAAUAAGUGUCAGGGAUCUGGUUGAGCUUUAUCCAUGGCUUACAUCCAGACAUGAG
rnacentral:lncRNA from 1 species